GGGUACACGGAUAAUGGAUGGAGAUUCAUGGGAGAGAAAUGAACAUGGUGAUAUGGUUACAAUUGUCAUCCAUCACCAACGUAGCAAUACUAGUAGGUGGCCAUGGCUUGCUAGCAAAGGGUAACAAGAGGUGAAUGUCCAAGAAAGUUUUCAAAUGGCAGCUACAUUUUGCUAUUUUAGUGUUAAUCAGGUUUGAACUUGAAUUUUCUGUUAGUAAAUUUUUAAAAUUCAAUUUAAAAUAUUCUUAGAGGAAAUAUAUGCUUCUGAGAAUGUUGAGAAAUUGAACAAUAUAGCAUUUGUAGGUGGAUAAAAAGGAAGAAAACAAAAAUGGUUGUUAAAAAUUAGAAAAUGAAAAAUGAGAAACAAUUUUUAGUCUAUUAAAAACCAAAAACAUAAAACCAAGAAUGAUACCAAACACACCCUUAUUUUUCACUACAUUUAUACACCAUUAAUUGCCAAUAAUAUCAUCUUCUAAUGCAAAAAAAAAAAAAAAUAACUCAAGAAUCCAAGAUCAACUUCUUAAGAAGAUUCUCUCAAUAAUACUCAGCAUAGAUAUGCUAACAUUCUCCUGCC
rnacentral:misc_RNA from 1 species